UCCGGUUUAACACCGGCAGUCUCUUUAGAGUCCCCAACUUAAUGAUGGUAACUAAAGAUAAGGGUUGCGCUCGUUAUUGGACUUAACCAAACAUCUUACGACACGAGCUGACGACAGCCAUGCAGCACCUGUGUGCAGGUCACCGAAGUGACGCUUACAUCUCUGCAAGCUUCCUGCCAUGUCAAGGGUAGGUAAGGUUCUGCGCGUUGCUUCGAAUUAAACCACAUACUCCACCGCUUGUGCGGGCCCCCGUCAAUUCCUUUGAGUUUUAGCCUUGCGACCGUACUUCCCAGGCGGGAUACUUAACGCGUUAGCUGUAGUACUCAGGGGGUUAACUCCCCAAACACCUAGUAUCCAUAGUUUACAGCGUGGACUAC
rnacentral:misc_RNA from 1 species